GCCUUUCCAUUUUAAAGAAUUGCCUUGGUGAGAUGUCUUCAGUUCUUCUGGUGUCAGAGCCCUGCCAAAUCUGUGAGAAGGGUGGAAGCAAGUUUCCCUGAGGGAAAAAAAAACAACAAAAAAAAACCUUCUGGAAUUGGGAAAAAUUUAGGUCAACAUCAUUUGAACCUUGACCUCUUGCUCUUUUGUCCCCGGGUGGACAUUUCCUUGACCUCCAGAAAUUCCUCCACCUCAAGGGAAGACUUCUUGCCCCCCUCACUUCCAGAGGCCUCCAAAGUGGGCUGGGAAGAGAUUUAAAGCAGGACCCUGGGAAGCAUGAUGAGACUCUGGAGUGUAGAGAGGCUUCCCUGCAAUGCAAAGAUCUUCAAAGGCCAAGCCCAAGGCACUGCAACCCCCAGGAGGGCCCACUCCAAAGCAGAACAGUGGAGGGAGAGCCUGCGUGUCAAGAAGCCUGGACAGCAAGACCCCCUACUGUGGCAGCCAGCCUGCUUGUAGGAGUCCUGAGAAGCCUAAUUCAAUUACCCUUAUCAGAAUGUCUCUGAACUUAACAAAGCAGAUAAUGAGUUCCAGAGACAGAUACUGCUUGGGGGGCCAAAAUUAUUUUGCUUCCCCAAAUUGGAGGCUGAAAUUGGAGAUGUUUGAAUAAUGGAAAACAUAAUCCUUCCCUAGGCCCAACCCCCUCCCAGUACCCACACCUGAGACACCCUUUCAACCAAGGAGCCUGGAUUCAACAUCCAUGCCGUCUCUCCUCCUGAAGACACCUGGUCAUGAACUCGACCUCUUUCCCCCACCAUCUUUGUGCCAUCGAUGGAAGGAAGCUGCGUACAGGAUGGAAGUGGGAGGGGAAAGGGAUUAACAUUUAUGGAGCCCUCCCCUCUAUGUGUCAGCUACAUAACACAUAGCAUUCAUUUCAACCACAGAACAUAUGUCUUUACAUUACAGAAGGCAACGGAGAACUGGAAAAGUUAACUUACUGCCUGAGGACCCAUCCCCAUCUCACCAGCAGCACAGUCAGAUUCAGACACAGGUAUUCAACUUUGCAACACACUGUGCCUCACGGCCUGUGUGCUCAACAUCAGAAAUCAAAUAGAAACUCCCUCAUUCUAAGAUUCAUAGCCAUCCUCCGAGAUAUGACAUAGCGACCUCUCCUCCGUGAACAGGGAAACAGACUGAGAGGAUAACCUAACUCUCCCAAGGCCAGAGUAUCCACUGGGAUAUGCAGCCAAGUCAGCCAGCAGUUGAAACAAGGGCUCUCUGUGCUAUCUCACAUCUGAAUUGAAUUGUUUCCUACAGACUUCUCAUAGCUCUCUAGGCAAGGAAUACAUCUUCUCACCUUCCCACACUAAGAAAGGCCUCUGUCUGAGCCUGGGUGCCGGGUGGCCAGGAUUCCUGCUGAACGUUCAGGAGCUUUCCAUCUCCAGAGGUCACCUGCUGCUCCAAGGAGGAUGAGAGACCUAUGGGGAAGACCUGGACCCAAUCUGAAGUUAGAACUAAGUGCAACUGAGCCCAGCCUGGAUUAACCAACUCCCAGCCAAUCCACAGACACCUGGGUAAGAAUACAUGAAUGUUGU
rnacentral:lncRNA from 10 species